AGUGAACGCUGGCGGUAGGCCUAACACAUGCAAGUCGAACGGCAGCACAGUAAGAGCUUGCUCUUACGGGUGGCGAGUGGCGGACGGGUGAGGAAUACAUCGGAAUCUACUUUUUCGUGGGGGAUAACGUAGGGAAACUUACGCUAAUACCGCAUACGACCUACGGGUGAAAGCAGGGGAUCUUCGGACCUUGCGCGAUUGAAUGAGCCGAUGUCGGAUUAGCUAGUUGGCGGGGUAAAGGCCCACCAAGGCGACGAUCCGUAGCUGGUCUGAGAGGAUGAUCAGCCACACUGGAACUGAGACACGGUCCAGACUCCUACGGGAGGCAGCAGUGGGGAAUUUUGGACAAUGGGCGCAAGCCCGAUCCAGCCAUACCGCGUGGGUGAAGAAGGCCUUCGGGUUGUAAAGCCCUUUUGUUGGGAAAGAAAAGCAGCAGGUUAAUACCCCGCCGUUCUGACGGUACCCAAAGAAUAAGCACCGGCUAACUUCGUG
rnacentral:rRNA from 1 species